rnacentral:rRNA from 1 species
GAUGAACGCUGGUGGCGUGCUUAACACAUGCAAGUCGAACGGAAAGGCUCCUGCUUGCAGGGGUACUCGAGUGGCGAACGGGUGAGUAACACGUGGGUGAUCUGCCCUGCACUUCGGGAUAAGCCUGGGAAACUGGGUCUAAUACCGGAUAGGACGAUGGUUUGGAUGCCAUUGUGGAAAGUUUUUUCGGUGUGGGAUGAGCUCGCGGCCUAUCAGCUUGUUGGUGGGGUAAUGGCCUACCAAGGCGUCGACGGGUAGCCGGCCUGAGAGGGUGUACGGCCACAUUGGGACUGAGAUACGGCCCAGACUCCUACGGGAGGCAGCAGUGGGGAAUAUUGCACAAUGGGCGCAAGCCUGAUGCAGCGACGCCGCGUGGGGGAUGACGGCCUUCGGGUUGUAAACUCCUUUCGCUGGGGACGAAGCGCAAGUGACGGUACCUGGAGAAGAAGCACCGGCUAACUACGUG